rnacentral:lncRNA from 1 species
GGUACUUUCUGUAUCUAGGAGUACAAAUGGCCAAAGUACUGCCCUGGAGUACUACUGGAAGACCUUGGAGAAGAUCUAGCCAAAGAAUUUAUCAUUUCAACCCGAGGAAAAUAGAAUUGACAAAUCAACAAAAUCCCUGAAAUUUAAGGGCCAUCACUCCCUGCCUGCCUAAUCUACUGUUGCUAACAAGAAUGACAGUAACAAACCAGAGAGGAACAGCCUUCCCUGGCCCUUUGCUUGCAUUCUGCCAGUUGUCUGUAUUUCUGAAGACCCAACUUUUGGUAAGAGGGAAACUGUGUUCACAGAGCAGCAUUGUGAUUCACAACUUUUAACAAUGAAGCAGCACAGGAAGGUAAGUUUUCUCAAUGACUCCAGCUUGUGUGAAAUAGAAUAUAUUGUUGGCAUUACCACUUAGGAAAAGCCAAAACCCCUGCAGAGACAUACAAAACUUACAGAUGAAAAUAUACACCUCC